rnacentral:rRNA from 1 species
AACGAACGCUGGCGGCAGGCCUAACACAUGCAAGUCGAGCGAAGCCUUCGGGCUUAGCGGCGGACGGGUGAGUAACGCGUGGGAACGUGCCCUUUGGUACGGAAUAGCCCCGGGAAACUGGGAGUAAUACCGUAUGUGCCCUUCGGGGGAAAGAUUUAUCGCCAAAGGAUCGGCCCGCGUUGGAUUAGGUAGUUGGUGGGGUAAUGGCCUACCAAGCCGACGAUCCAUAGCUGGUUUGAGAGGAUGAUCAGCCACACUGGGACUGAGACACGGCCCAGACUCCUACGGGAGGCAGCAGUGGGGAAUCUUAGACAAUGGGGGAAACCCUGAUCUAGCCAUGCCGCGUGAUCGAUGAAGGCCUUAGGGUUGUAAAGAUCUUUCAGUGGGGAAGAUAAUGACUGUACCCACAGAAGAAGCCCCGGCUAACUUCGUGCCAGCAGCCGCAGUAAUAC